rnacentral:lncRNA from 1 species
AUAAUUGGCUUAUGCUCAAGAGAUUAUGUUUUAAACCUUUAACUAACAAGAUAUUUUUAAUAGAGGAGGUUUCGUCCUUACCGACCGAGCCGAUGCCAAUAAUUUUUCCUUUGUUAUUGUCACCGAAAAUAACGCUUCCUCCUUCCUUAGGUUCUAGUUGAAGGAAUUUAGAUGCAUCCCCGGUCAUGUGUUUGGAGCAUCCACUAUCAAGGUACCAAAGUGCACUUGAUCCCUUCAAACAUACCUACAGUUUGGAGAAUCCACUAUCAAGGUACCAAAGUACACUUGAUCCCUUCAAACAUACCUACAAAAAAAAUUAAUGAGAUCUUGGUACCCAAACCAUUUUGGGUCCUUGUGUGUUAGGUGCGACAUAGUGUUGUUGUGGCUGACUUGCAUUGAAAUGCCUAUGUCGGGUGAAACAAGCAGGAGCUAUAUGCCCUACUUUAUUGCAAUAGUGACAAAUCACAAUAGGAUUAUGCAUUCUUCUAGGAUGAUAGUAAUUUGGAGG